rnacentral:rRNA from 1 species
CGCGGCCUAUCAGCUUGUUGGUGAGGUAACGGCUAACCAAGACGACGACGGGUAGCCGGCCUGAGAGGGUGACCGGCCACACUGGGACUGAGACACGGCCCAGACUCCUACGGGAGGCAGCAGUGGGGAAUAUUGCACAAUGGGCGCAAGCCUGAUGCAGCAACGCCGCGUGAGGGACGACGGCCUUCGGGUUGUAAACCUCUUUUAGCAGGGAAGAAGCGAAAGUGACGGUACCUGCAGAAAAAGCACCGGCUAACUACGUGCCAGCAGCCGCGGUAAUACGUAGGGUGCAAGCGUUGUCCGGAAUUAUUGGGCGUAAAGAGCUCGUAGGCGGUUUGUCGCGUCUGCUGUGAAAACCCGAGGCUCAACCUCGGGCCUGCAGUGGGUACGGGCAGACUAGAGUGCGGUAGGGGAGAUUGGAAUUCCUGGUGUAGCGGUGGAAUGCGCAGAUAUCAGGAGGAACACCGAUGGCGAAGGCAGAUCUCUGGGCCGUAACUGACGCUGAGGAGCGAAAGCGUGGGGAGCGAACAGGAUUAGAUACCCUGGUAGUCCACGCCGUAAACGUUGGGAACUAGAUGUAGGGACCAUUCCACGGUUUCUGUGUCGCAGCUAACGCAUUAAGUUCCCCGCCUGGGGAGUACGG